UAAUACAAAUAUUAAUUCCACGCAUGGAUUGAUAAACGUAUGGAUACUGUGGAUUCGACCUCGCACAGACUACUAAUCUCUACUGGGUGGACAAAGGCAUGACGUUAUGUGAUUAGUAGCCUGCUUCGCACAGACUACUGAUCGCAUGACGUAAUUCCUUUGUCCUCCUAAAUCGUCUGUCAGUCCCAUUAUCCAUAAAUUAGGGUACAGCUACGGAGACAGACAACUACAGUCACUUGCUGAUCGACGUUUGCGGCAAAAGGACAUUCCUAUCGGUGCGGAUAAAAAGCACACGUCCACAAAUUUACGAAGAGAAUGAAAGUUAUUUUGCUGAUAGCUGUCAUGUUGACAUCAGCCAUCGUGGUAGACAGUUACGUUCUGGGUACAUCCAGGAAUCGCAGGAGAAGAAACACCAGAAGGAGGGCCCUCCUCAAGAAAGGCGACACCUUCGAGAAGAAAGUGGCUACCCUGGAAGAGGCUGCUGCUGGUUUGAAGGAGGAUGUGAAGGAAGUGGAGGAAGAAGCCGCCUUGGGACUGGUGGAGGAAGAACUGAAAGACUUG